CCUUGGGCCGCCCGGAACUAGCUGGAAACUGGAGAUUUCCGCCGGUUUUCAGUCGAAACUUCAUCUCCUUCGUUCUCCUUCGUUUCUCAACCAAAUCGUUCGAGUAAGGCACCAGAGGACCGGCAGAACCACAAGAGGGACCUUCAAAGGGUCCAGCUAGCUCGGACCAGCAAGCGGCUCGAGUCGACUUGGUGUCA